CUCCCUUGAAUUUUCCAUCUCCAGAACUUCCACUUAUGGAACUAUCUGAGGAUUUUCUGAAAGGACUUAUGAAUAAUUAAAAUAGAAGGCUUUUGGAGAGAUCAGAAGAAAUUCAGCAACACAGUUGAAAAGAAGAAAAAAUUAAAAAGGUAAAACCACAUACAAGGGUAAUUCCAGAUGUGCUUUACCAUCUGGCUGACUGGCAGAAGCAGCAUUGCCAGGAUGUGGGAAACAGUCACUGUGAAAUAUAUUGCAUAUCCGAUCUACCCACUCGAGCUAAGGGUUCCCACCUGGCAGACAGUAAACUCUUGGAGAUUCAUUUUCUCCUGAUACAAACCAAAUGGGUACCUGGAAUAAUUUUCUCAAGCACCAAUUAUUUUUCUUCAGGGUUAAAAUGUAUAAAAGUAUGUUAUAUAUAAUUAAUCUAUAAUGCCAUAAAUGAUAAUGUAAAACCUAAAUAAUAUGGUGGCCUGAGGGGCUGCCUUGUAUUUGAAACAUGCUUUCUAUCAUGCAUUGACUAUAUGCAUUUUUAUGCACAUUUUGUUUGUUUAAGUAAGGUGUGUAGGAUAUAUACCUUUCUAGAUGAAACUAUAUGUGCCACAUUUUGCACUAAUAACAUAAUGAUAACCUCAAGACUACCAGGAGAAGUAUUUAAAUUUCCAUUUUAUGAAGAAAGGAACCAAAUUAUUAGUUAUGCUAUUUUUAAAAAUUACCAGUUUACAUAAUUAAUCAG
rnacentral:lncRNA from 1 species